CAGUUUCGAAUCAUUCACAAUGGGCGAAAGCCUGAUGGUGCGACGCCGCGUGAGGGAUGAAGGUCUUCGGAUUGUAAACCUCUGUCACUGGGGAGAAAACGCUUUGAGUUAAUAGUUCAAAGCCUGAUUUAACCCGGAGAGGAAGCAGUGGCUAACUCUGUGCCAGCAGCCGCGGUAAUACAGAGACUGCAAGCGUUAUUCGGAUUCACUGGGCGUAAAGGGUGCGCAGGCGGUUGGGUGUGUCAGAUGUGAAAUCCCGAGGCUUAACCUCGGAACUGCGUCUGAAACUACUCGACUAGAGUACUGGAGAGGGUAACGGAAUUCACGGUGUAGCAGUGAAAUGCGUAGAUAUCGUGAGGAACACCAGAGGCGAAGGCGGUUACCUGGACAGUUACUGACGCUCAGGCACGAAAGCAUGGGGAGCAAAAGGGAUUAGA
rnacentral:rRNA from 1 species